CUGUUUCUGAGAGUCAGCCAAUCAGUGAUGGCCCCAGCUUCUGAGAGUCAGCCAAUCAGUGAUGGCCCCAGCUUCUAAAAGCCAAUCAGCGACAGUUCAGUCCAGUGAACAAGCUUCCAGGCUAAAGGACUGAGGAGGGCGAAUCCUGAGCUGCCAGGACCCCUAUUCUUUUUACAACCCAAAGAAAACUUGAAAGAAAAUGAAGAACUUUGUCCUUAGAAACAAGCCAUCUGUUACAGAGCGGAGCAAACCAGCCAGGCCUCUGUGAGCCUCACAUCACUUCUGCCAGGCGCUGGCUGGGCAGCCUCUGUUGCAAGCUGUCUAGUCUCUAAUUCCUGUAACUCAGGAACAAUAUCAACUGGUUGAUGAAAUGUCUGGAAGAGUCCAGGGCAAAGUAAAUGCAGCAACAAACUCCAACUUAGCUCUGGCCAGGAGUGGCUCUGCAAAUUCUUUCUCCUUCUGGGACAGGCUGGAGGAGAGAGUUAAACCAGAGGAAAGCAAGAUUUUAGACACGUGCGAAAGGGUCCUCAGUCCCUGCUCCUCUCUCAGGCUGAGACUUUAGAAUCCCAGGUAAGUCUGGAAGGUCUGAUGGUAGGGUCAAUCUGUAUCUUGCUUCCUAACAGGACUUUUUGAAGACGCAGCCCACCUUGGCUGUCUCCUCUGUGCCACACAAAGGAGCUGAGAUGACUAGAAAGACUCUCGUUGCGUGCAAAGUAAACUGAUGAAGUUCCUGUGUCCCCUGUGUGGUGUGAGGGUCCU
rnacentral:lncRNA from 1 species